UACGUAGGGGGCAAGCGUUGUCCGGAUUUAUUGGGCGUAAAGAGCGUGUAGGCGGCCGUACAGGUCAGCUGUGAAAACUCGAGGCUCAACCUCGAGACGUCGGUUGAAACCGUACGGCUAGAGUCCGGAAGAGGAGAGUGGAAUUCCUGGUGUAGCGGUGAAAUGCGCAGAUAUCAGGAGGAACACCAAUGGCGAAGGCAGCUCGCUGGGACGUGACUGACGCUGAGACGCGAAAGCGUGGGGAGCAAACAGG
rnacentral:rRNA from 1 species